rnacentral:rRNA from 1 species
AUUGAACGCUGGCGGCGUGCCUAACACAUGCAAGUCGAGCGGCAGCGCGGGAGCAAUCCUGGCGGCGAGCGGCGGACGGGUGAGUAACGCUUGGGAAUCUGCCUGUUAGUGGGGGACAACCCGGGGAAACUCGGGCUAAUACCGCAUACGCACUACGGUGGAAAGCCGGGGACCGCAAGGCCUGGCGCUAACAGAUGAGCCCAAGUCGGAUUAGCUAGUUGGUAGGGUAACGGCCACCAAGGCGACGAUCCGUAACUGGUCUGAGAGGACGACCAGUCACACCGGAACUGAGACACGGUCCGGACUCCUACGGGAGGCAGCAGUGGGGAAUAUUGGACAAUGGGGGAAACCCUGAUCCAGCGACGCCGCGUGGGUGAAGAAGGCCUGCGGGUUGUAAAGCCCUUUCAGUGGGGAAGAAAAGCCUCGACCUAACACGUCGGGGUCUUGACGUAACCCAUAGAAGAAGCACCGGCUAACUCUGUGCCAGCAGCC